CACACCUUUGUCUGUGCUUGCUUCAGAAGCACACACACUGCAGAGAAGGGCAGCACGGUCCCUGUACAAGGAUGACACACUAAUAUGUAAAGGAUUCCAUAUUAAU
ensembl:snRNA U6 U6 spliceosomal RNA